AGGACGAACGCUGGCGGUGCGCCUAACACAUGCAAGUCGAACGGUGAACCGGGCUUCGGCCCGGGGAUCAGUGGCGAACGGGUGCGUAACACGUGGGCAACCUGCCCCCGACCCUGGGAUAACCCCGGGAAACCGGAGCUAAUACCGGAUACUCUCCUCCGACCACAUGGUCAGAAGAGGAAAGGUCCGCCGGUCGGGGAUGGGCCCGCGGCCUAUCAGCUUGUUGGUGGGUAACGGCCUACCAAGGCGACGACGGGUAGCUGGUCUGAGAGGACGACCAGCCACACUGGGACUGAGACACGGCCCAGACUCCUACGGGAGGCAGCAGUGGGGAAUCUUGCGCAAUGGGCGAAAGCCUGACGCAGCGACACCGCGUGGGGAUGAAGGCCUUUCAGGUCGUAACCCUUUCGGCAGGACGAAGCGAUCUCGUGACGUACCUGCAGAAGAGCCUCGGCUAACUACGUGCCAGCAGCCGAC
rnacentral:rRNA from 1 species